AUCCCCAAAAUUUUGAAAACCCGCCUUCUACCUUUUUUCUAUCUUUCAUCUUCUGAAUCUCCUCUCUGAUCCGCUUCUCCGCUACUCCUGAACUCCUUCUUAUCGGUCUUAUCAAACAUCUCGUUCCUCACCAUUAUUGUUGACCACUGGUCCUUCCCCAUCUGCCAUGCUCCUACCGAAUGAUCAUCUGUCCAAGCACAAUCGGCAAUAUCUAUCUACUUUUCUUCUCUUGUUAAUUUAUGCAACUCGAAUCCUACUUAAAUCGAGUCCAAAUUCUCUUUGCACCCUGAAGAUGAUGAUGCCUUUGAAGUUGUUUUCUGCACCUCUGUAUCAUCAAUAUUACAACCCUCCUGGGUCAAAAUCACAAAUUAUUGGAUCGAUUGUGAUUUGUCUUUUUAGGGUUUUUUUUUUCAGAAGAGACUAGAGAUCCUAUACUAUUAGAAGGAUCGGAGCUUGUUGAUGAUAAAUCGGACCCAUCCACACUCAUUCAGCUAUCUACUAAAGUUGAUCUUCUUUCAUUCUGUUGAUGUUCUUAGAAAAGAACCAGAGCACAGAACCUUUAUAAGGCUGAGAAUCAGCCCAUCUGGUAAUCUUCUCUCUCUCUCUCUGCAAUUUCAUCUGAGUGGGAGUCCUGGGUACCGAUCGCCUUCAUAAUCUUUCAUGAUAAAGUCAUCAAUUGGGAACCUUCUAUAGAAUGGAUCGGUGCUUGUUGACAUCCCAUUGGUUGAUGAGAAAUUUCCAGCUCAAGGUCCAAAGAAACUUGAAUGGGAUUGGACCAUUGUGCUUCCGGAUUUGCUGCUAUCAAUAGCUAUUGUGUGAAUCCUCAUUGAACUCUUCAUUUUGGUUUAAGAGAACAAGGUGGAGAGGCUAAAAAGAGACAAGUUAGUAACAGAGAAUCUCCUCCAAGAAACAAUAAUGCUUUUCAUGAUUUCAUCAUACAAUCAUUGUUACUUUCAAGAAGUAUUACUAGAGUAGAAAUUGAAUUAAGGAUACAAUUUUCUUUUAUAAUAUAUUCCUGAUUAGAACUGAUUGAUGCUAAAGUUUAUUCAUUGGGAGGUGUAGUGAAAUCAAAAGCUCCCUGUGUAGCUUCUUAGUGGGAAACAAGUUGAACUUUCCUAGACAAAGAGUUCAAGCCUCUCAAAUGUUUUUUUGGAUCUCAGAUAUAACAUAUUUGCUGAUGUAAGCAGGCAUGGAAUCAAAUAACUAAGAACUGGAUGGGCAGAUGUGCCAGCAUAUGUCACUAUACAAGUUCACAGUUAUGAAGAUAGAAAUAUUACAACAUACGAGUUGCUAUUUUCAUUGUUUGGAAAUGUGAAUGCUCCUUAUGAAGAUGGAAAUAAUGAGUCAUGAGCAGAAGCUGCUAAAAGAAUAAAUGCUAUAGAGAAUGAUAUGAUCAGAAAUGGCAUUCAGCAUAGUUAUGUAUCUAUAAGGAACUUGGUAAGUCAUGUCGGUUCCCUUUUGUUUUAUUUAAGUUUUAGGUAUAGGUACGUUAUUUUACAUUUAUAUCAACUGAUUGGUUUGGGUUGACUUGCAAUACUUUUUUGUACUUAAAAUAUGAAUUUCAUAAAUAUUAAAUAUUAAUUAGUAAAAGCUAUUAUAAAAGUAAAACAACAAUCCACUUAAGUUUCGAUUGAUCUGUUCCCCUCAUAGCAGAUACUGUGGUUCUAUCAAGUCACCUCUAUUGUUAUUUUUUUAGGAAAUUUUCAAUUCAUGUGUGUUUUCAAAUCCUUUUUUAGAUAAAUGCUUUAAUCCUACAUUUCUUUUGAAUAUUGCAAGCUAACUCUCACUGGAGCAUCACAUUACAUUACAAGUUACAAAAAAAAAAAAUUUGGGCAUCAACAAGUACAAUUUCAUCCUUCCAGUUCCAUAAUCUUAGCUCACAUUUAAUUUACCAUUUGGAAAUUGUGUCCAGCAAGUAAUUCUAUACAGGAAACUUCAUUUAUACCUUAUAGAGUUUUUAUAAAUUCCUAGAAUACCCAUCCUGGUUUCCAGGCAGAGAGAUUAUCUGAAUUUUAUGAGAUAUGUAAAAGUCUUGACGUGGGACGUGGUGAGAAGUUUAUUAAGAUUGAGUAGGUAUGAUUGCCUUAUUGUAUAACAAGUUUUAUAUUUUUGACUUCUGAAUUUUAAUUUUAAUUCAUGAUUAUGAAGUCACCAUCUUCAUUCACACAAGCCAUGGAAGAACUUGUAAAAGAAGCUCCUUGUGCUUCAUCAGUUGACAGAAAACCAAAAGGAAUUCUUGCCAUUGAACACAAAAAAGAGGCAGAUGCAGAGGUGGAGGCUCCAUCCAAACCGCCACCAGCAGAACCACUACCAGAGCCGGAGCCUAAAUCAGAGCUAGUAAAAGUGGAAGCUCAUGUUACUGAAGCAAUAUCGGAUUUACUGAUAAUUUGGUUAACAAUUGGUAUUAAAGUGGAGUAUAUUUCAUUAUAGAUGAUUUUUUUUGUAGGGUCUGAAUGAUCCUCUUCCUUCCAGUAGUGGUAGCUGGUCUUGUGAAAAUAGAUAAAGAUUUCCAAGAAAAAGGUACAUAUAUUCCUUAAAAAAUUUCAACUUGAGACUAGAUAGUAAUACCUUUGUGGUAAUGCAUAUCAAGACUUAAAAAGAAUAAUAAAGUAGGUCCUCCACCUCAUUGUAAUUCUUUGGUGGGAAGCAGUUUAUCCAACAAAGGUAUUUCUGUUGUUUAUUCAGUUAUCUAAUUUAGUAGGAAACCCAAUCUUGAUCCUUUUGAUACUCUAUUCGAUGAGUAGGCCCCAGAGGUCACAUUCCCUUAAGGAACAUUGGUACCCUUUGAUUAUUUCAACAUAUUGCACUAUUAUUCAUUCUUUUAGGGCUUAAUGCUUCAUUUUUACUUAAGUUUAAUGGCUUCUGAUGUGUUAAGAGGUUACACUGUUAUUCAGCCUUUUAUUCGAUGACAUAUAAUUUGAUAGGUGUCUUGUUAUUCAAUCAUGUAUAUCAAGCAAUAAUGAACAAUGGAGCAUAUGAUCUUUAUUUAUCUUUUCUUAAAUUAUAUUUCCUUCUUGCUCAUUUUUACUCUGAUUAUCAAUAAAUUACCUGAUGUAUCUUGUCUACUGUUAUUAUUUUCAUAUUAGUUAGAUUUUGACUGUUAUAAUUUGCAGGUGAAUAGGUUCGGAAAGCUCUAGAAUAAUGCAACACAUUACUCAGUUGAUAUCGAGUUACAUGAUUAUCAAUAAAUAACAUUCAAUUGAUAUUUCAACAGAAACUUGUAACUGCAUUUUCUUCCAUUCAUGGUCACAGACCCAUGUCAAAAGUGGGUGUUGUAGUAGAUUAGCAGCAACAAUCUGACUUUACGGUAUCAACUACUCCUACUUUUCAAUUUCCCCUUUUUUAUUCACUUUGAUGCUUUUAUUUUAGGCUUUAUUUGUUUAUAAUAAAAACAACAUAUGAUUUAUGUUUUAUUUAUGGGUACAGUUUGCUUCCGGUGAAACCAUGAGGAAAUGCUUGAGCUCUAUAUGUCUUCUUGGAACCUAACUUUUAUCAUUUCCAUUAUUUACAGCAAAACAAGAUUAAUAAUUUGUUCUUGGCUACUACUUUAUGAUAUUCACUUAUCAGGUUGAAGAGAAGGGGUCAACCUCCUCAUGCCUUGGUUACUUUUGGUUUUGGUGGGAAGUUGAUUGUGAUGAAGGAUACAAGUGGUGGGCCAAUUUUUGUUCUUAACAUGGCUGAAAUUGUGACCGGAGGUGGUGACAUGGCAACCGGUGGGACCCGCAUAUGUGAUUACUUUCACACUCUUUGCCGCCAAUCAGUUCCGGGCCCACUUGCUGGUGGAAAUGUUGGUGGUAAAGAGCUGAAUAGAGGGAUUGAUGAGAGAAUCACACAGUCACACCCUCCUACUGACAUGGAUUAUAAAAAAGAUCAAGUUUUAAAGCUUCUACUUUCUUUACUCAAAAUAGCUUCACAACAUUACGGGAAAUUACGUUCUCCUUUUGGCACCGAUACUACAUCAAAGGAAAACGACGCCCCAAAUGUAGCGGUUGCUAGACUGUUUGCAUUUGCAAAGAAAGACACUUCUCAAUAUGGCCAUUAUGGAGCUUUCGCUAACUGCUUGCAACAGUUGCCACCAGAAGGACAAAUUCGGGCAACUGCUGCUGAAGUCCAAAUUAUGCUAGUUUAUGGGGGAUUGCCUUAAUUCUUGCAGCACAACAUGGUGAUCAGUUCUAUGUGGAUUGUGUUAGGAAGAUGGGUGUUCAUCAGCUAGUAGCAGGGUCACCUUUAAGGACAUUAUGUCUACUUAUUGUCGGUCAACCUGCAGAUGUAUUUUCAACUGACACUGCAACAGAUAGUGCCACUGUUGCUGCUGUAAAUAUAUCACAGGUAAUAAUAAUAAUAAUAUCAUUAUAUUUGAAUUUUGCGAGACAAAUUGGCAGCUUGUUGCUUCAACACUUGAAGGAAAGAAUGGUACCUAGUACUCGAAUAGGUCAGUUACCAUUUUUUAUACUUUUUACACCAUGCUACUAUUUGGUAUGUAGUGAUCAAAGUUGGAAUUAGAAUUGUUCUGAUUGUAUUGAAAAGAAGGGAAUAGUGCAUUUCUUCUGCUAGGCUCAUUUUCGAUGGAAUGGAAUGACAUUAUAAUCAUAAUAUACUUUUAUGUAUAUAAUCUUUGAUAACCCCUGGAACUAAAAGUUUCAUCGUAUAAGAUCAUUUUGUUUUUUAAUCUUCCAAAAGUAACUAUUUUUUAUUUUAGUUCUAUUUUAAGAUUUCAUUGGAAUUUAAUUUAUUAUAAUCCUUUAUUAUUUUUAACAGAUUUUAAAAGUGACUAUAUAUGUAUAUAUUAACAACUAGUACAAAAUGAUUAUUUUAUUCAAUUUAGUCAUUUCCAAAAGUAAUUAUUUUUUAUUUUAUUUAAUAUAACAAUGCAUCCUACUUCUUUUCUUAAUACAUUCUGAAAAAUCUACUCGGUUAUAAAAAUUUUUUCUAUUAUAUUUUGAUUCCUACCUUCUCUUUGAUUUCAAUAUUUUGGAUUUAGCAUCUUCUGUUGCGGUUAUUCUUACACUUUUUGCAUUUAAGUGUAUGUCUCCAUCAGGUAAUUAAUUUUGAUCAUGUAUCUUUAAUGCUAUUAAACACUACUAUAGAUUAUAGAAUCCCGAUACGUUAGUAAUAAUCAUUUUUUUAUGUUUUCAGCUAUUAAACACUACUAUAGAAGAAAAUGACCCUGCUGUGUUUACAGGCGACACACUGUUUGUUGCUAGUUGUGGCGGUUUUUUGAGGGGACAGCAGGACAGAUGCAUGAGUCACUGUGUGUGACUUUGGCUUCUUUGCCAAAACCAACUAAAUUUACUGCGAUAUGAUCUACCUCAACUUCAAGUAUUCUUGAUGUUUUUGACUUUUUUUCAUAUAGUUUGGAAAAAGAAAUGUCAUAUUUCGACCUCAAUUAUGAUGCAGGAAGUUGGAGAAAACGGUCACGAGAAUUAUCGGAGCAGGGGUUCAUUAGUCUUAAAGAAUUAUGAAAGGCAAGAUGCAACUCUACUUAGUUGGAAUUUGAUGUUUAUCAUCUUUGUGUAUAUCUUUUUAGUUUGUAUAGCAUUACAUUGCAGAAGGUGUCCCUUAAUAGCAAUGUAGUAUUAGGUUAGAUAUUUAGGGAAAACCUCUUAAUAACAAUGUACAAUUAGAUCCCCUUAAUAUCAAUGUAUUACAAUA